UACAGAGGAUGCAAGCGUUAUCCGGAAUGAUUGGGCGUAAAGCGUCUGUAGGUGGCUUUUUAAGUCCGCCGUCAAAUCCCAGGGCUCAACUCUGGACAGGCGGUGGAAACUACCAAGCUGGAGUACGGUAGGGGCAGAGGGAAUUUCCGGUGGAGCGGUGAAAUGCGUAGAGAUCGGAAAGAACACCAACGGCGUAGGCAGCGCCCUGGCUGUGAAUAAAGCUGACACUGAGGCACGAAAGCUGGGGGAGCAAACAGG
rnacentral:rRNA from 1 species